rnacentral:misc_RNA from 1 species
AUGAAUUUAUUGACAGGGUUGUCGCUGGCCUUUACCGGCAUGUGCACGCCUUGCUUCAAUUCAUCCAAUCUACACCUCUGUGCACUCUUCAUAGGUUGGCUUUCCUCUGGGAUUACCCAUGGCCUUCUAUGCAUUUUAUAUCACAAACUUGUAUAGUCCAGAAUGUCUUUAUAAUCGCGUGUAACGCAUAUAAAUA